rnacentral:lncRNA from 1 species
CUGGCGCCCAGUCCCGGGGAGAGGCAGAUGUGUCUGAGCGAGGGCUGGGACCCCGGAGGAGCCAGGAACAGGAGAAUCCCGGAGGCUUUACCGAGCACCUGCUGUGUGCGGGGCCCCUGCGAGCCGGUGCUGGGGCCAGCUGCUGGGCCGCGCGCCUGUCUUGCCCGGCUGGGUAUUGAUGGAAAACCGAUGAAAAUGGACAGUUCAGAAAAGAACAAAGAAAAUGAAUACCAUCCACGGUCUCUUCCCCCAGAGAGAGUCACUGUUAAUAACUUAAAUAGUUUAAGGAGCUGCCUAGAAAAAUCUCCAUCAGUAUUCAUGUUUGGGGGACACCCUCAUCUGCACCUGACAGAGGUUGAUGGUGGUCCCUGA